rnacentral:rRNA from 1 species
CAACAGGGAUUGCCUUAGUAACUGCGAGUGAAGCGGCAGAAGCUCAAAUUUGAAAUCUGUGCCCUUGUGGGCAUCGAGUUGUAAUUUUGAGAUACGUUUUCGACCGACAGGCCUGCCUUAAGUUCCUUGGAACAGGACGUCACAGAGGGUGAGAAUCCCGUGAACGGUAGGCCUCGAGGCGCAUGAUACGUAUUCAACGAGUCGAGUUGUUUGGGAAUGCAGCUCAAAAUGGGUGGUAAAUUUCAUCUAAAGCUAAAUAUUGGGGAGAGACCGAUAGCGCACAAGUAGAGUGAUCGAAAGAUGAAAAGCACUUUGAAAAGAGAGUUAAAAAGUACGUGAAAUUGUUGAAAGGGAAGCGCUUGAGACCAGACUCAAUCUCCGUUGAUCAACUUCAGUUCUCUGUUGUGCACUCUGCGGCUUUUGGGACAGCAUCGGUUCUCGCGGAGGGACAAAGCCUCAGGAAAUGUGGCACCCUUCGGGGUGUGUUAUAGACCUCUGGGUAAUGCCUCCAGCGGGGACCGAGGACCGCGCUCCGGCUAGGAUGCUGUCAUAAUGGUCUCCAGCGACCCGUCUUGAAACACGGACCAAGGAGUCUAACAUCUAUGCGAGUGUUCGGGUGAAAAACCCUUGCGCGUAAUGAAAGUGAACGCAGGUGGGAAUCGUAAGACGCACCAUCGACCGAUCCUGAAGUCUUCCGAAGGAUUUGAGUACGAGCAUAGCUGUUGGGACCCGAAAGAUGGUGAACUAUGCCUGAAUAGGGUGAAGCCAGGGGAAACUCUGGUGGAGGCUCGCAGCGGUUCUGACGUGCAAAUCGAUCGUCAAAUUUGGGUAUAGGGGCG